GSURRRRGACUUUCMAGAGAUGGAUUGGUGCCUUCGGGAACUCUGACACAGGUGCUGCAUGGCUGUCGUCAGCUGUGACGKGRGAUGUUGGGUUAAGUCCCGUAACGAGCGCAACCCUUGUCCUUAGUUACCAGCACGUUAUGGUGGGCACUCUAAGGAGACUGCCGGUGACAAACCGGAGGAAGGUGGGGAUGACGUCAAGUCAUCAUGGCCCUUACGGCCUGGGCUACACACGUGCUACAAUGGUCGGUACAGAGGGUUGCCAAGCCGCGAGGUGGAGCUAAUCUCACAAAACCGAUCGUAGUCCGGAUCGCAGUCUGCAACUCGACUGCGUGAAGUCGGAAUCGCUAGUAAUCGCGAAUCAGAAUGUCGCGGUGAAUACGUUCCCGGGUCUUGUACACACCGAA
rnacentral:rRNA from 1 species